rnacentral:rRNA from 1 species
UACAGAGGUCUCAAGCGUUGUUCGGAUUCAUUGGGCGUAAAGGGUGCGUAGGCGGCGGGGCAAGUCAGGUGUGAAAUCCCGGAGCUCAACUCCGGAACUGCACUUGAUACUGCCUUGCUAGAGUACUGGAGAGGAGACUGGAAUUUACGGUGUAGCAGUGAAAUGCGUAGAUAUCGUAAGGAAGACCAGUGGCGAAGGCGAGUCUCUGGACAGCAUCUGACACUGAGGCACGAAGGCCAGGGGAGCAAACGGG